rnacentral:rRNA from 1 species
UUGGAGGGCAAGUCUGGUGCCAGCAGCAGCGGUAAUUCCAGCUCCAAUAGCGUAUAUUAAAGUUGUUGCAGUUAAAAAGCUCGUAGUUGAACUUCGGAAUCAAUGGAUUGGUCAUGCCGUUGGUAUGUACUGGUCAUAUUGGUUCUCACCUUCUAAGGAACCAUAAUGUCAUUCAUUUGAUGUUUUGGGGAAUUAGGACUGUUACCUUGAAAAAAUUAGAGUGUUUAAAGCAGGCUAACGCUUGAAUACAUUAGCAUGGAAUAAUGAAAUAGGACAUCGCAUUCUAUUUUGUUGGUUUCUAGGAUCGAUGUAAUGAUUAAUAGGGAUAGUUGGGGGCAUUAGUAUUCAAUUGUCAGAGGUGAAAUUCUUGGAUUUAUUGAAGACUAACUACUGCGAAAGCAUUUGCCAAGGAUGUUUUCAUUAAUCAAGAACGAAAGUUAGGGGAUCGAAGACGAUCAGAUACCGUCGUAGUCUUAACCAUAAACUAUGCCGACUAGGGAUCGGAUGAUGUUGAUUUUUUAAUGACUCAUUCGGCGCCUUACGGGAAAC